rnacentral:rRNA from 1 species
AGAGUUUGAUCCUGGCUCAGGAUGAACGCUAGCGGCAGGCUUAACACAUGCAAGUCGAACGGUAACAUGAGAGCUUGCUCUUGAUGACGAGUGGCGCACGGGUGCGUAACGCGUAUACAAUCUACCUUUAACUGGGGGAUAGCCAGAAGAAAUUCUGAUUAAUACCCCAUAACAUUUCAAAAAGGCAUCUUUUUGUUUUUAAAACUCCGGUGGUUAAAGAUGAGUAUGCGUCCCAUUAGCUUGUUGGUAAGGUAAUGGCUUACCAAGGCAACGAUGGGUAGGGGGCCUGAGAGGGUGAACCCCCACACUGGUACUGAGACACGGACCAGACUCCUACGGGAGGCAGCAGUGAGGAAUAUUGGUCAAUGGACGAAAGUCUGAACCAGCCAUGCCGCGUGCAGGAAGACUGCCCUAUGGGUUGUAAACUGCUUUUAUACGGGAAGAAACACCGCUACGUGUAGCGGCUUGACGGUACUGUAAGAAUAAGGAUCGGCUAACUCCGUGCCAGCAGCCGCGGUAAUACGGAGGAUCCAAGCGUUAUCCGGAAUCAUUGGGUUUAAAGGGUCCGUAGGUGGAUAAUUAAGUCAGAGGUGAAAUCUUGCAGCUCAACUGUAAAAUUGCCUUUGAUACUGUUAAUCUAGAGUUUAGUUGAAGUAGGCGGAAUGUAGCAUGUAGCGGUGAAAUGCAUAGAUAUGCUACAGAACACCGAUUGCGAAGGCAGCUUACUAAGCUAAAACUGACGCUCAGGCACGAAAGCGUGGGGAUCAAACAGGAUUAGAUACCCUGGUAGUCCACGCUGUAAACGAUGAUCACUCGUUGUUGGCGAUACACAGUCAGCGACUGAACGAAAGUAUUAAGUGAUCCACCUGGGAAGUACGAUCGCAAGGUUGAAACUCAAAGGAAUUAACGGGGGCCCGCACAAGCGGUGGAGCAUGUGGUUUAAUUCGAUGAUACGCGAGGAACCUGGAAUCUUACCUGGGCUUAAAUGUUUAAUGACCGUCCCCGAAAGGGGACCUUCCUUCGGGACAUUUUACAAGGUGCUGCAUGGUUGUCGUCAGCUCGUGCCGUGAGGUGUCGGGUUAAGUCCCAUAACGAGCGCAACCCCUAUUCUUAGUUGCCAUCAGGUCAAGCUGGGGACUCUAAGAAAACUGCCUACGCAAGUAGUGAGGAAGGUGGGGAUGACGUCAAAUCAGCACGGCCCUUAUGUCCAGGGCUACACACGUGCUACAAUGGUCGAUACAGAGGGUCGCUACCUGGUGACAGGAUGCUAAUCUCAAAAAUCGAUCUCAGUUCGGAUCGAAGUCUGCAACUCGACUUCGUGAAGUCGGAUUCGCUAGUAAUCGCAUAUCAGCAACGAUGCGGUGAAUACGUUCCCGGGCCUUGUACACACCGCCCGUCAAGCCAUGGAAGCUGGGGGUACCUGAAGUUCGUGACCGUAAGGAGCGACCUAGGGUAAAACUAGUAACUGGGGGCUAAGUCGUAACAAGGUAA